UACGGGGGGGGCAAGCGUUGUUCGGAAUUACUGGGCGUAAAGGGCUCGUAGGCGGCCAACUAAGUCAGACGUGAAAUCCCUCGGCUUAACCGGGGAACUGCGUCUGAUACUGGAUGGCUUGAGACUGGGAGAGGGAUGCGGAAUUCCAGGUGUAGCGGUGAAAUGCGUAGAUAUCUGGAGGAACACCGGUGGCGAAGGCGACAUCCUGGACCAAUACUGACGCUGAGUGAGCGAAAGCCAGGGGAGCAAACGGGAUUAGAUACCCCGGUAGUCCUGGCCCUAAACGAUGAAUGCUUGGUGUGGCGGGUAUCGAUCCCUGCCGUGCCGAAGCUAACGCAUUAAGCAUUCCGCCUGGGGAGUACGGUCGCAAGGCUGAAACUCAAAG
rnacentral:rRNA from 1 species